rnacentral:rRNA from 1 species
AGCAGUCGCCGCGGUAAUACGUAGGUGGCAAGCGUUGUCCGGAAUUAUUGGGCGUAAAGCGCACGCAGGCGGAUAGGUCAGUCUGUCUUAAAAGUUCGGGGCUUAACCCCGUGAUGGGAUGGAAACUGCCAAUCUAGAGUAUCGGAGAGGAAAGUGGAAUUCCUAGUGUAGCGGUGAAAUGCGUAGAUAUUAGGAAGAACACCAGUGGCGAAGGCGACUUUCUGGACGAAAACUGACGCUGAGGCGCGAAAGCCAGGGGAGCGAACGGGAUUAGAGACCCCAGUAGUCCCUGUCUCUUAUACA